rnacentral:lncRNA from 1 species
AAGUUCAAGGAACUUCUAAAAAUGUUCAUGCUAAUGUCAUUUUUGUCCUGUCAUGUUUUUACAGGUUUGAGGUGGCCAGUCUACCACUUGUCUUCUUGUAGAGUAAUGAACACAUGUGGGAAACCUUGUCUUUACUCAAAAAGGGAACGUGUCAUCAGCACAAGGUUUAACAUGCUAAAGUUGAUAGUGAGUUCCCACUGGACGUCAAACAACCACCCUCCUCUUUCCAUUCACAACGGUGGUUCCUCACUUGAGCAAAAUUCACGAAACAGUCCAGAGUAUUUUAGGAAAAAAUUCCAUGACCCUUCCAAAUCUGAGAGAGUUGUGUUAACUCAUUCCAGACUUCAAGUAAUCAGGUUCACAGAUGGUGACUGUUUUUAUUAGUGCAACGAAGUCAUCUGUCAAUCUGUGCUUGUGGUUAUCCUUAGUAGUCAGAGCAUCUGUACUCAAACAGAGCAGCUCAACUGGAGUAACUCAAAAAAAAAAAAAGAAAGAAAGAAAGAAAAGAGAAGAGAAGAGAAGAGAAGAGAAGAGAAGAGAAGAGAAGAAAGGAAGGAAGAAGAAAAAAUGCGGUAAUCCUAGCACCAGUGAUGCAGAAACAGGUAAUUCCCUUGGCCUCACUAGCUGACCAGAGUCGAUGAGAUCCUGUCUCAAAAAGGUGAGGCUAGGUGGUGGUGCAUGCCUUAAUUCCACCAUUUGGCUCGCAUGGAGGCCAGCCUGGUCUACAUAGUGAGUUCUAGGACAGCCAGGGCUAUGUAGAGAACCAUUUUGAACUAUAUGCCAGUUACUUGGAGGAAUUUCCCAAAGUGUAGCCAGCUACAGAAAUGUGGAUGGGGGUAAUAAUAAUAAAAAACACAUAAAAGAGGGUUGCA